rnacentral:other from 1 species
AAUCCCCUGCGGUGUUUGUGAAAGCCGUAAAUUCCUUGAGCCAAUAUCGAGUGACCGGUUGCCAACCCAGGAAACCGCCAGUGUGCACGCCCCCAGCGGGCGAGCCUGAGGCGGGAGGAAAGCAACCCCCUGAACUUUAGGUUCAGGAUAACCCGGCGAACACGGCACAGGCGGGGGGCCC